GAAUGCUGACAUAAGUAACGAUAAAGCGGGUGAAAAGCCCGCUCGCCGGAAGACCAAGGGUUCCUGUCCAACGUUAAUCGGGGCAGGGUGAGUCGACCCCUAAGGCGAGGCCGAAAGGCGUAGUCGAUGGGAAACGGGUUAAUAUUCCCGUACUUGGUGUUACUGCGAAGGGGGGACGGAGAAGGCUAUGUUGGCCGGGCGACGGUUGUCCCGGUUUAAGCGUGUAGGUGUGUGUUCCAGGUAAAUCCGGUUCACUUUAACACUGAGGCGUGACGACGAGGCACUACGGUGCUGAAGCAACAAAUGCCCUGCUUCCAGGAAAAGCCUCUAAGCAUCAGGUAACAUCAAAUCGUACCCCAAACCGACACAGGUGGUCAGGUAGAGAAUACCAAGGCGCUUGAGAGAACUCGGGUGAAGGAACUAGGCAAAAUGGUGCCGUAACUUCGGGAGAAGGCACGCUGACACGUAGGUGAAGUGAUUUACUCAUGGAGCUGAAGUCAGUCGAAGAUACCAGCUGGCUGCAACUGUUUAUUAAAAACACAGCACUGUGCAAACACGAAAGUGGACGUAUACGGUGUGACGCCUGCCCGGUGCCGGAAGGUUAAUUGAUGGGGUCAGCGCAAGCGAAGCUCCUGAUCGAAGCCCCGGUAAACGGCGGCCGUAACUAUAACGGUCCUAAGGUAGCGAAAUUCCUUGUCGGGUAAGUUCCGACCUGCACGAAUGGCGUAAUGAUGGCCAGGCUGUCUCCACCCGAGACUCAGUGAAAUUGAACUCGCUGUGAAGAUGCAGUGUACCCGCGGCAAGACGGAAAGACCCCGUGAACCUUUACUAUAGCUUGACACUGAACAUUGAGCCUUGAUGUGUAGGAUAGGUGGGAGGCUUUGAAGUGUGGACGCCAGUCUGCAUGGAGCCGACCUUGAAAUACCACCCUUUAAUGUUUGAUGUUCUAACGUGGACCCGUUACCCGGGUUGCGGACAGUGUCUGGUGGGUAGUUUGACUGGGGCGGUCUCCUCCUAAAGAGUAACGGAGGAGCACGAAGGUUGGCUAAUCCUGGUCGGACAUCAGGAGGUUAGUGCAAUGGCAUAAGCCAGCUUGACUGCGAGCGUGACGGCGCGAGCAGGUGCGAAAGCAGGUCAUAGUGAUCCGGUGGUUCUGAAUGGAAGGGCCAUCGCUCAACGGAUAAAAGGUACUCCGGGGAUAACAGGCUGAUACCGCCCAAGAGUUCAUAUCGACGGCGGUGUUUGGCACCUCGAUGUCGGCUCAUCACAUCCUGGGGCUGAAGUAGGUCCCAAGGGUAUGGCUGUUCGCCAUUUAAAGUGGUACGCGAGCUGGGUUUAGAACGUCGUGAGACAGUUCGGUCCCUAUCUGCCGUGGGCGCUGGAGAACUGAGGGGGGCUGCUCCUAGUACGAGAGGACCGGAGUGGACGCAUCACUGGUGUUCGGGUUGUCAUGCCAAUGGCACUGCCCGGUAGCUAAAUGCGGAAGAGAUAAGUGCUGAAAGCAUCUAAGCACGAAACUUGCCCCGAGAUGAGUUCUCCCUGAGACUUAGAGUCUCCUGAAGGAACGUUGAAGACGACGACGUUG
rnacentral:rRNA from 2 species